AUGAAAGUAGCAGGUCACAUUGGGAAAUAUGCACUCCGAUGACCACAGGCAGAUUAGGGCUAUUAUUGCCGGAUGCUUUGAGGCCAUGGGAGACAUUUUUAUUUCCCAAGUAUAGCAUAUUAUUAGCGCCACGAUAUCUCAAAACGGAGGACUUGGUCGGUGAAAGUUGUUAACUAGUCGCAGAAGGAGUGUUCAUUCAUGCCUGACAGCCAAAGUUUUCACCGUCUCGUUUCAUUGUUCAUUUGAUUUCCAACCUUGUUUCAAGUGCACAUUUAUUAUGAUAAUGCUGUAUCUUGUAAAGAUUGGGAAUCUGUAAUUGAUGGAAGUUUUGUGUUUAUUUCCAACUUUCUUGUUUCAAGUGCACGUUUAUGAUAAUGCUGUAACUUGUAAAGAUUGGGAAUCUAUAAUUGAUGGAAGUUGUGUGUUUA